ACGGGGUGCAGCAGGCGCGAAACCUUUACACUGCACGAAAGUGCGAUAAGGCUAUACCGAGUGCCACCCGCUGAGGGUGGCUUUUCCUAGGUCUAAAUAGCUUGGGGAAUAAGGGGAGGGCAAGACUGGUGUCAGCCGCCGCGGUAAUACCAGCUCUCCGAGUGGUGUGGAUGUUUAUUGGGCCUAAAGCAUCCGUAGCUGGCCAAGUUAGUCCCCUGUUAAAUCCACCGAAUUAAUCGUUGGAGUGCGGGGGAUACUGCUCGGCUAGGGGACGAGAGAGGCCGACGGUAUUUUCGGGGUAGGGGUGAAAUCCUAUAAUCCCGGGAAGACCACCAGUGGCGAAGGCUGUCGGCUAGAACGCGCCCAACGGUGAGGGAUGAAAGCUGGGGGAGCGAACCGGAUUAGAUACCCGGGUAGUCCCAGCCGUAAACGAUGCAGGCUAGGUGUUUGGGCGGCCACGCGCCGCUCUAGUGCCGCAGGGAGGCUGUUAAGCCUGCCGCCUGGGGAGUACGGCCGCAAGGCUGAAACUUAAAGGAAUUGGCGGGGGAGCAC
rnacentral:rRNA from 1 species